AUUCUUUGAUCACUAACAAUUUAAUAAGAAAUGGAAAGGAAACAUGAUGGGUUAGAGAGAGAGAGAGUCUACCUUCUCUCUAGAAACUACCUCAGUUUCUAGGGUUUGUUCAUUCAAUAUUUCGUUGAUGAUGGUUGAUUACUCAUCUAAUCUACAUGACUUAGAUACAAUGGGUGAUAAACUAGUGAUUGAAGGUACUACUACACCUAAGGGGAGUUCGUACAUCUUGAAGGAUAGUCUUACGGAUAGUGAUUUGUUAAUUUUAAUGGACGUCGCGAAGAGAAAUGGGGGUAAGAAACAUCGUUCUGCAUCUAAUAUCGAGAUGAGAAAGAGCCCUAAGGCUUUCAGUAGGGUUGAGUCUAAGAUCCCUAGUCCAAGUUUUCUUGUUGACGCUAUGGGUGGUCUCUACUCUGAGAUUCAAGAGAUGAAUUUUAUUCAGCUCCACUUUAAAACAACAGGUGUUCGAGGUAAUGAAAAAGCAAGAGGAGAUGAGGCUAACAGAAUUGACUACAAAAGGGGCAGAAUUUAAAGCUAUGUAAGCUAAAGCUGAAACUCCAUGCUUCUCUCAAAGAAAAGGCACUGGGAUUGUAAAUGAUGAUUUUUUCAAAGACUUCAACAUGGAUGAUAUUGACUUGAGUUUGGAGAACUUUGAACAACUCUUUAGAACUGGUAACUUGUUUGAAAGUGGGGAUGCGCAUGAUGCUGAUAUCAAGACACACUGUGCAUUUGCUUCUGAGAUAAGAAAUGCAACAAGGUUAGUAGCUCCAGCUAUUGCUGCGGGUUUAGGUGCCUUAACACAUACAUUAGGCACCCUCAUCCCUGUGAUAGGAGCAAGUGGAUUUGCCACAGCUGCAGCUGGAAUUGCUAUAAGAACUGUUGUCGGUAGUUUUAAAUAAUCUCUUAAUAGCUGUCGAUAUGUUUAUAAAGUUAGAUAUGCAUAGUUUUGGAUGGUUUAAACUAUUUGUACAGUUUAGAACUUAAGGAUAUAGUUUUCGAAUGUUUGAAAUG